CUCAAUUUCAUAGGCUGGUAAUUUGCCAACACGACAGCAAAUGCUCAAUAAACACAGCGAAUGAAUUCUCAGCAUCUUUGUAAGAAGAGAUGAUGAUGAGCCAUCGUUUUCCAAACUUAUCCCGUUCUCAAUCACAAGUUGUAUCUCACGAAAUUGCUCUUGGUGAUUCAAAGCGUAAUCUACGAUCAUCAGGAGGCUUUCUUCAUUGCAAAUAAAUGCUCGUAAAUGUUGAAGCUUCGGUAGUUUAAGGAGAUGGGUAAAGAUAGAUGCCUCAAACGCCUCAGCUUAUGUAUGGUAUUGGGCAACAUGGGAACCCCAGACACGUCCAAAUUCAAUGACUGGAAACAGACAAGGUUGCAAAUACAUGAUGGAAACUCAUCUAUACUACUUUCUUCUAUAUUAGAUUCAAUGAAACAAUGAUUAUUUGAUCUA